GGGUUGUGAGGUUAAGCGACUAAGCGUACACGGUGGAUGCCCUGGCAGUCAGAGGCGAUGAAGGACGUGCUAAUCUGCGAUAAGCGUCGGUAAGGUGAUAUGAACCGUUAUAACCGGCGAUUUCCGAAUGGGGAAACCCAGUGUGUUUCGACACACUAUCAUUAACUGAAUCCAUAGGUUAAUGAGGCGAACCGGGGGAACUGAAACAUCUAAGUACCCCGAGGAAAAGAAAUCAACCGAGAUUCCCCCAGUAGCGGCGAGCGAACGGGGAGCAGCCCAGAGCCUGAAUCAGUGUGUGUGUUAGUGGAAGCGUCUGGAAAGGCGUGCGAUACAGGGUGACAGCCCCGUACACAAAAAUGCACAUAUUGUGAGCUCGAUGAGUAGGGCGGGACACGUGGUAUCCUGUCUGAAUAUGGGGGGACCAUCCUCCAAGGCUAAAUACUCCUGACUGACCGAUAGUGAACCAGUACCGUGAGGGAAAGGCGAAAAGAACCCCGGCGAGGGGAGUGAAAAAGAACCUGAAACCGUGUACGUACAAGCAGUGGGAGCACUCUUAUGGGUGUGACUGCGUACCUUUUGUAUAAUGGGUCAGCGACUUAUAUUCUGUAGCAAGGUUAACCGAAUAGGGGAGCCGAAGGGAAACCGAGUCUUAACUGGGCGUUAAGUUGCAGGGUAUAGACCCGAAACCCGGUGAUCUAGCCAUGGGCAGGUUGAAGGUUGGGUAACACUAACUGGAGGACCGAACCGACUAAUGUUGAAAAAUUAGCGGAUGACUUGUGGCUGGGGGUGAAAGGCCAAUCAAACCGGGAGAUAGCUGGUUCUCCCCGAAAGCUAUUUAGGUAGCGCCUCGUGAAUUCAUCUCCGGGGGUAGAGCACUGUUUCGGCAAGGGGGUCAUCCCGACUUACCAACCCGAUGCAAACUGCGAAUACCGGAGAAUGUUAUCACGGGAGACACACGGCGGGUGCUAACGUCCGUCGUGAAGAGGGAAACAACCCAGACCGCCAGCUAAGGUCCCAAAGUCAUGGUUAAGUGGGAAACGAUGUGGGAAGGCCCAGACAGCCAGGAUGUUGGCUUAGAAGCAGCCAUCAUUUAAAGAAAGCGUAAUAGCUCACUGGUCGAGUCGGCCUGCGCGGAAGAUGUAACGGGGCUAAACCAUGCACCGAAGCUGCGGCAGCGACGCUUAUGCGUUGUUGGGUAGGGGAGCGUUCUGUAAGCCUGUGAAGGUGUGCUGUGAGGCAUGCUGGAGGUAUCAGAAGUGCGAAUGCUGACAUAAGUAACGAUAAAGCGGGUGAAAAGCCCGCUCGCCGGAAGACCAAGGGUUCCUGUCCAACGUUAAUCGGGGCAGGGUGAGUCGACCCCUAAGGCGAGGCCGAAAGGCGUAGUCGAUGGGAAACAGGUUAAUAUUCCUGUACUUGGUGUUACUGCGAAGGGGGGACGGAGAAGGCUAUGUUGGCCGGGCGACGGUUGUCCCGGUUUAAGCGUGUAGGCUGGUUUUCCAGGCAAAUCCGGAAAAUCAAGGCUGAGGCGUGAUGACGAGGCACUACGGUGCUGAAGCAACAAAUGCCCUGCUUCCAGGAAAAGCCUCUAAGCAUCAGGUAACAUCAAAUCGUACCCCAAACCGACACAGGUGGUCAGGUAGAGAAUACCAAGGCGCUUGAGAGAACUCGGGUGAAGGAACUAGGCAAAAUGGUGCCGUAACUUCGGGAGAAGGCACGCUGAUAUGUAGGUGAAGUCCCUUGCGGAUGGAGCUGAAAUCAGUCGAAGAUACCAGCUGGCUGCAACUGUUUAUUAAAAACACAGCACUGUGCAAACACGAAAGUGGACGUAUACGGUGUGACGCCUGCCCGGUGCCGGAAGGUUAAUUGAUGGGGUCAGCGCAAGCGAAGCUCUUGAUCGAAGCCCCGGUAAACGGCGGCCGUAACUAUAACGGUCCUAAGGUAGCGAAAUUCCUUGUCGGGUAAGUUCCGACCUGCACGAAUGGCGUAAUGAUGGCCAGGCUGUCUCCACCCGAGACUCAGUGAAAUUGAACUCGCUGUGAAGAUGCAGUGUACCCGCGGCAAGACGGAAAGACCCCGUGAACCUUUACUAUAGCUUGACACUGAACAUUGAGCCUUGAUGUGUAGGAUAGGUGGGAGGCUUUGAAGUGUGGACGCCAGUCUGCAUGGAGCCGACCUUGAAAUACCACCCUUUAAUGUUUGAUGUUCUAACGUGGACCCGUGAUCCGGGUUGCGGACAGUGUCUGGUGGGUAGUUUGACUGGGGCGGUCUCCUCCUAAAGAGUAACGGAGGAGCACGAAGGUUGGCUAAUCCUGGUCGGACAUCAGGAGGUUAGUGCAAUGGCAUAAGCCAGCUUGACUGCGAGCGUGACGGCGCGAGCAGGUGCGAAAGCAGGUCAUAGUGAUCCGGUGGUUCUGAAUGGAAGGGCCAUCGCUCAACGGAUAAAAGGUACUCCGGGGAUAACAGGCUGAUACCGCCCAAGAGUUCAUAUCGACGGCGGUGUUUGGCACCUCGAUGUCGGCUCAUCACAUCCUGGGGCUGAAGUAGGUCCCAAGGGUAUGGCUGUUCGCCAUUUAAAGUGGUACGCGAGCUGGGUUUAGAACGUCGUGAGACAGUUCGGUCCCUAUCUGCCGUGGGCGCUGGAGAACUGAGGGGGGCUGCUCCUAGUACGAGAGGACCGGAGUGGACGCAUCACUGGUGUUCGGGUUGUCAUGCCAAUGGCACUGCCCGGUAGCUAAAUGCGGAAGAGAUAAGUGCUGAAAGCAUCUAAGCACGAAACUUGCCCCGAGAUGAGUUCUCCCUGACUCCUUGAGAGUCCUGAAGGAACGUUGAAGACGACGACGUUGAUAGGCCGGGUGUGUAAGCGCAGCGAUGCGUUGAGCUAACCGGUACUAAUGAACCGUGAGGCUUAACCUUACAACGCCGAAGCUGUU
rnacentral:rRNA from 1 species